AGUAACCAAUUACCAAAAUUUGGGUAGUCAUUACAAUUAUAUUAGUAGCCAAAACUAGAAAUCUUAAUUCAGUUCAGUGGUAACAUUGAUACAUUUUUCCCCUCACAGGCUUUAAUGUGGUCUGGAUCUCCCAGAGUGAACUCAGGCAAGGAGCUGUUGUACUCUCACACCCGCGUGUCUGUGUCCCGACACCCUCAGCACAACACCUUCACACUGUCACUCAGAAACAUCAGCAGCAGUCAGCGCUCCAACUACUCACUGAACACAGAGAAAUGUCUGAUGAUAUCAGAGCGGUAUUCUGUUUGGAGGGACAUGACUGGUUUACCCUGGAGGCUCAGUGAGACCCUUACCCUUAUUUCUGAAGGAGCUGCCAAUCAGAGUCUGCUUUUUCAAGCUAAGGGAUACAGGGAAUGCCUGUGGGCCAUGGAGGUGAGAACAGCAAGGAGUUAUGAAGUUCUUUCAUUAUAUAAAUCUGCCAGAUGGCUUGUAAAACAUUGUUUUUCAUGUCUGGAUUGAUACUGUAUCUUUACAGGCAAGCCUCCAGCAGCUGGGGUCUAGGAUAAGGAGUUAACUGUUGGACAGAGUUCCGAGACUUCAGCAUCUACUGUUAACAUUCAGAAGACAGGUUUGUUUUAUCUCACAGGCUGUCCUGCUGCAUAUUUAGUCUAUGUUAAAAGGUUAGGUCAGUGGAAAAAAAAUCACUUACCCUCAUGUGGUUUAAACAUGUAUGCCUUUCUUUCUUCUGGGAACCAAAAAAGAAGAUAUUUUGAAGAAUGUUGCAGUGUUUUUUAAUCCAUACAGUGAAAAUCUGUGGGGUUCAAUGUUGUUUUGGACACCACUGACUUUCAUUGUAUGGAUAGUUGAGGUAUUCUUUAAAAUAUUUUUAUUCCACAGAAGAAAGGGUGCUUUGUAAGACUCAUAUAGAGUAUUUUAGAAUCAAAUACAUACCCUUUCAAAAGUUUGGGAUCAUUAUUUAUUUAUUUAUUUAUAUUGAAACUUUUAUUCAGCAAAUUUAUAAAAAGUAACUGUAAAAGUGACAGUUAAUGUUAUGAAAAAUUUCUAGAUUAUAUUUUUGGAAUGAACAUUUAAUCAAAUAAUCCUGAAUAAAAGUGUAUCAUGGUUUGCA
ensembl:lncRNA